rnacentral:rRNA from 1 species
UAUAGAGGUCUCAAGCGUUGUUCGGAUUCAUUGGGCGUAAAGGGUGCGUAGGCGGCGCGGUAAGUCGGGUGUGAAAUCUCGGAGCUUAACUCCGAAACUGCAUUUGAUACUGCCGUGCUUGAGGACUGGAGAGGAGACUGGAAUUUACGGUGUAGCGGUGAAAUGCGUAGAUAUCGUAAGGAAGACCAGUGGCGAAGGCGGGUCUCUGGACAGUUCCUGACGCUGAGGCACGAAGGCCAGGGGAGCAAACGGG